CUUCCCUCAUUCCUCUUCCUCCCUCUAGCUUUUCUCUUCCCCUCUGUAUUGCCCGUGUGCCAGCUCUGGCGGCGGCGCUGAACCGUCGGCUGGUGGCCGGCGGGCGGCGAGGCGCCGCACCAGCUGCUAGUCUCUCGCUCGCCUCCCUGCUUGAAGACCUCGGCCGGCCUCCCCAAACCCUACCCUCUUUCGUUUUCCUCCCUCUCUUCCAUCGUCACCCCUGCUGCCUCCUUCCCCGACGCCGCCCGCCGUCGAAAUUUGACAUCUCCGAGCUCCCGGCGAUCACCUCCGCUCGCCGCCGCCGCCAUCCUCCAUCAGGUCGCCUCUCCGCCGCCGCUCCCCGCCGUCCGAGCUGUGGGUGAGCCUCGCAGCCCCACUGCCUUCCUCGCGCUCUGCAGCAAAAGAAGCCAUACCUGACAGAGUUGCAGGUCGAGGUCAGGGAUCUCGAGAAGUGAAUCUCCACGAUACAGAAAUCAGAACGGGAACAGCAAGUUCCGCCAGGUGCCAGAUUUCUUGAAAUGAGAUUCUAACUGCAUAUUCCAAUCGAGAAUUCUAUGUAGGAGCAGAACAUUGCUUUGAUUAACCCAAUUAAUUGUUACUUCUACUCUUUCAUUUAUUUAGCUUCUUUGGAUUGCAUUUUGGUAACCUGCCUCUACUUAUCUUGAUGAAACGUGAACGUAUUCAGAAGCAAGAGGUCCGCGUGACCUACAAGUGUGGCAUCCACAAGGAGUUCAGCUUCGACUGCCGCCCUGAUCGAUCAACUCCCCUGUGCACCCUCAUCUUUAAUUUUGGCCUGUCGUCAAAUUAUAUUCAUAUAUGAUAAUUUAGAUAACUGUUUAUGCAUUUCUGUUCUGUUAUUGGAACAAUAGACUUCAUCAGUGAUUCUAAUUGACCUUUAUUUUUGUUGAGUUGUCCCUAGGAUACCUUUUUUCAAACUUAGUCAAUCUAAGUUAACUUUAAAUGCCAUUCCAUAAUAGCAGCUAUGCUUUACAUAUUUGUUUUCAGGCUUAUUGAAAUGGCUGUAUAAUUGAAGAGAUUCCAGAAGUUUUGAGAUUUUCGAUAUGUUUGACCUUUAGCCUUGAUGCUUCAUUAUUUUAGUUGGGACAGAAAGUUAGUUCGACCUUGAGAGGCCCUUUCUCAGGCAUAUUGCUCAAUUCCUACCACUACUACAAUCAAUAUUCCUGCAACCAUAAGAUUCCUAAAUUAGCGAUCCAGAAGUGUCAGUCCCUGUAGAGGCAACUACUUCCAGCCUUCCAGAACACCCAGAUCCUCACCUUUGUUGUGGACAACAAUGGCAGAGAAAGUGUUGCUAAUGUCAGGAUGGCCUCCACCAUUGUGAAACAAGGUGAAGAAGCUGCUAAUUGCUUCCGGUGUGUUUUGCCGACGAUGUACAUGUGAAUCAAGGCUAGGAUUAUAGGGGAAAGUAUUAGUUUGAUUCCAGCUACAACAUCUAAUUCUUGGUAAGCUCCUUUUGCUCCUUGCGUCGUUUACUUGACCAUUAAUAUUAUUAUCUGUUCAUGAUUGCCUUUUGUUUUAAGAAAUUUCUAUAUAGUACAUGCUACUGUGUGUUAAUUCAUUUUAGCAUAUCUGCUGAUCUGAACAUACAAUGUCUAGACUUAGUUCUACUUAAAUUUAAGUAAUACUUAUACUGAGAGGUUAUAUUAUUAUCUAUUUAAAUACAUCAAAGUUUCCAUGAAAAAUUAGGAUGGCUGACCCUGAUAGGCCGGCAUUUUUUAACAUUCACCUUUUUUUUCCCUUUUCCCUUUUUAUGUUUUUUCAUUUUAGUUUAAUCCUCCCAUUGGAUCAUUGACCAUUGCUUCUUAAUCGAACAGAAGGCAACUAGGUAGUUUGGUAGAGCUUGAGAGGUUCCUUCAGUUUCGGAGCCCAAAACUAUUUUCUACUGCAGUUAUAAAUGCCAUAUGCAUUGUAUUGUGCUGAAGUGGUUUACAAAGCUUUGGACAACUGCCAGGAAGUUUCUAAAUUCAAGUGUUGUUGAUUAACUUCUACGGAAGAAAGCAUGUGUCUUCCAGUUCAAUUAAAAAAAAAGAGUGCUCCCAAUCUUUAUUAAAAAAAAUAAGGCAAGAUCAUGACACUCCAUAGAGCACCAAUAAAAAAACCUUAGUACAGGUAAUAAGAGCCGCCAAAGACCCCAAGGACUUCAUGAUCUAAUGUACCAGGACCAAAAAAAAAAGGCUUAGCUGUAGAAUCAGAUCGCGAGGUGAAGAACUGGUAAAUCCAUGCAUCAGAUACAUCCUCCAUUCACAAAUGUGGAACCCAUCUCCCUGUAAAAUAUCAAGGUUUUAAAAAACGCUAGACGCUAGGUGAACGCUAGCCUAUGGUUUAGAGUUUUUUGUGAUUAAAUGUAGAUUAAACAUCUUUUGUGAUUAAACGACACUGUGAUUAAAUACAACGCUAGGCCAAAGUUUAGAGUUUAAUCAAGAUUAAACGUAGUUUUAAAACAUUUUUUAAAAUAGGGUAAAAUAUACAUUGAAAAAAUAUGAGUCAAACAGCCUUUUUCCCUCUUCUUCCUUCCACCUCCUUCCUGCUCUUCAUGUUCAUGGUUUCCUGCCGACCGAGCUGCUGCGCCUCCGCCACGCUCAUCUUGCCACCGAGCUCCACCCGCCGCAUCUCCAUCCUUUGCAAACGGAUUCCCCUGCAACUAGGUCGCUCGUCCGCUCUAGGUCCACCAAUGUGGCUUCAAUGAUGGUCAACUAUUGUUGUUGCUCCUCCGUGUGUUCUACUCUUUUACAGAACGAGACCAACAAAAAGACUCAGAUAUGGUCAGACAAUGCGAUAGAGCUAUAUUUGAAGCUGAAAUAGAAGAUGAACGAAAAAUGAAUAAUCCACCCACCUUUCAUGGCUUUGCAUACUCCGGAGAAACUUCAGACGAUGACGACCCCAAUGACGCCUACUAUUAUGCAGCCCCUCCAGUACCACAACAAGCCAUCAGAGACCUUCCCAUAUGAAGCAAGUAGAAAAAAAAAUCAAUGUCAUUCUCAAGACCCCAACCGGCCAGCCCACCUUCUGUUUCUCUGUCUCCACGUAUGCGUGUUUGUAUAACCAUGAACGUGUGUGCAUCUAUAUAACUGCAUCUGAACUCGCGAGUCAAUGAAAAUAUUGUAAAUGUUAUUAAUUUAUACUACCCUAUCAUAAUCCUGUUACAUAUGCAAAA